rnacentral:rRNA from 1 species
CCUACGGGAGGCAGCAGUGAGGAAUAUUGGUCAAUGGCCGUAAGGCUGAACCAGCCAAGUCGCGUGCAGGAAGAAGGACCUAUGGUUUGUAAACUUCUUUUAUAGGGGAAUAAAGUUAUCCACGUGUGGAUUUUUGCAUGUACCCUAUGAAUAAGCAUCGGCUUACGCCGUGCCAGCAGCCGCGGUAAUACGGAGGAUGCGAGCGUUAUCCGGAUUUAUUGGGUUUAAAGGGUGCGUAGGUUGUUUUUUAAGUCAGCGGUGAAAGUUUGUGGCUCAACCAUAAAAUUGCCGUUGAAACUGGAAGACUGGAGUGUGUUUGAGGUAGGCGGAAUGCGUGGUGUAGCGGUGAAAUGCAUAGAUAUCACGAAGAACUCCGAUUGCGAAGGCAGCUUACUAAGCCAUAACUGACACUGAAGCACGAAAGCGUGGGGAGCAAACAGGAUUAGAUACCCGUGUAGUC